GGGAGUACGGUCGCAAGAUUAAAACUCAAAGGAAUUGACGGGGACCCGCACAAGCGGUGGAUGAUGUGGAUUAAUUCGAUGCAACGCGAAAAACCUUACCUACCCUUGACAUGGCUGGAAUCCCCGAGAGAUUGGGGAGUGCUCGAAAGAGAACCAGUACACAGGUGCUGCAUGGCUGUCGUCAGCUCGUGUCGUGAGAUGUUGGGUUAAGUCCCGCAACGAGCGCAACCCUUGUCAUUAGUUGCUACGAAAGGGCACUCUAAUGAGACUGCCGGUGACAAACCGGAGGAAGGUGGGGAUGACGUCAAGUCCUCAUGGCCCUUAUGGGUAGGGCUUCACACGUCAUACAAUGGUACAUACAGAGCGCCGCCAACCCGCGAGGGGGAGCUAAUCGCAGAAAGUGUAUCGUAGUCCGGAUUGUAGUCUGCAACUCGACUGCAUGAAGUUGGAAUCGCUAGUAAUCGCGGAUCAGCAUGUCGCGGUGAAUACGUUCCCGGGUCUUGUACACACCGCCCGUCACACCAUGGGAGCGGGUUUUACCAGAAGUAGGUAGCUUAACCGUAAGGAGGGCGCUUACCACGGUAGGAUUCGUGACUGGGGUGAAGUCGUAACAAGGUAGCCGUAUCGGAAGGUGCGGCUGGAUCACCUCCUUU
rnacentral:rRNA from 1 species